GUAGUCUGCAACUCGACUACAUGAAGCUGGAAUCGCUAGUAAUCGCGGAUCAGAAUGCCGCGGUGAAUACGUUCCCGGGUCUUGUACACACCGCCCGUCACACCAUGGGAGUCAGUAACGCCCGAAGCCGGUGACCCAACCUAACCAGGAGGGAGCCGUCGAAGGCGGGACGGAUGACUGGGGUGAAGUCGUAACAAGGUAGC
rnacentral:rRNA from 1 species